GAUGAACGCUAGCGGCAGGCUUAAUACAUGCAAGUCGAGGGGCAGCAGGGUGUAGCAAUACAUCGCUGGCGACCGGCAAACGGGUGCGGAACACGUACGCAACUUACCCAAAACUGGGGAAUAGCCCGGGGAAACCCGGAUUAAUACCUCGCAACCUAAUUGAGUGGCAUCACUCGAUUAGUAUAGCUCCGGCGGGUUUGGAUGCGCGUGCGCCUGUUUAGGUAGUUGGUUGAGGUAACGGCUCACCAAGCCUACGAUCAGGAACUGGUGUGAGAGCACGACCAGUCACACGGGCACUGAGACACGGGCCCGACUCCUACGGGAGGCAGCAGUAAGGAAUAUUGGUCAAUGGACGCAAGUCUGAACCAGCCAUGCCGCGUGAAGGAUGAAGGUCCUCUGGAUUGUAAACUUCUUUUAUAGGGGAAGAAACCUCUUGAUUCUUCGAGAGUUGACGGUACCCUAGGAAUAAGCACCGGCUAACUCCGUGCCAGCCGCCGCGGUAACAC
rnacentral:rRNA from 1 species